AUUGAACGCUGGCGGCAGGCCUAACACAUGCAAGUCGAACGAGUGGCGGACGGGUGAGUAAUGUCUGGGAAACUGCCUGAUGGAGGGGGAUAACCUAUGGAAACGGUAUCUAAUACCGCAUACUCUCGGAUGUGCCCAGAUGGGAUUAGCUAGUAGGUGGGGUAAGGGCUCACCUAGGCGACGAGCCCUAGCUGGUCUGAGAGGAUGACCAGCCACACUGGAACUGAGACACGGUCCAGACUCCUACGGGAGGCAGCAGUGGGGAAUAUUGCACAAUGGGCGCAAGCCUGAUGCAGCCAUGCCGCGUGUAUGAAGAAGGCCUUCGGGUUGUAAAGUACUUUCAGCGGGGAGGCGUUACCCGCAGAAGAAGCACCGGCUAACUCCGUGCCAGCAGCCGCGGUAAUAC
rnacentral:rRNA from 1 species